GAUAUCUGCUACUGCAGUGGUGUUUACAACUAAUUGAUCACAAUCAGUUACAGAUUCCUUUGUUCCUUCUUCACUUCCACUGCUUCACUUGACUAGCCUUAA
ensembl:misc_RNA Y_RNA Y RNA